rnacentral:rRNA from 1 species
CCCGGGGAACUGAAACAUCUCAGUACCUGGAGGAAAAGACAUCAAUUGAGAUUCUGCUAGUAGUGGCGAGCGAACGCGGAACAGGCCAGUGGUCUUUGGAAGAGAAGCAGAACACUCUGGAAAGGGUGGCCAUAGUGGGUGAUAGUCCCGUAUGCGUAGUGCUUUUAAAGAUCCUUGAGUAGGGCGGGGCACGUGAAACCCUGUCUGAACAUGGGGGGACCACCCUCCAAGCCUAAAUACUCCCUGGUGACCGAUAGUGAACAAGUACCGUGAGGGAAAGGUGAAAAGCACCCCGACGAGGGGAGUGAAAUANUAGACCUGAAACCGAAUGCCUACAAGCAGUCGGAGCCUCUUAUGGGGUGACGGCGUACCUUUUGUAUAAUGGGUCAGCGAGUUUCUGUUUGCAGCAAGCUUAAGCCGGUAGGUGUAGGCGUAGCGAAAGCGAGUCUGAAUAGGGCGUCUAGUUGCUGGCAGAAGACCCGAAACCGAGUGAUCUAGCCAUGGCCAGGCUGAAGGUGCGGUAACACGCACUGGAGGGCCGAACUCACGCCUGUUGAAAAAGUCGGAGAUGAGCUGUGGCUAGGGGUGAAAGGCCAAUCAAACUCGGAAAUAGCUGGUUCUCCGCGAAAUCUAUUGAGGUAGACCGUCAGGUAUUUACCCCGGGGGGUAGAGCACUGGAUGGGCUAGGGGGGCCCAAAGCCUUACCAAACCUAACCAAACUCCGAAUACCCGGAAGUAUUAGCCUGGCAGACAGACAGUGGGUGCUAAGGUCCAUUGUCGAGAGGGGAACAGCCCAGACCACCAGCUAAGGCCCCUAAAUCGUGGCUAAGUGGGAAAGGAUGUGGGGAUUCCAAAACAACCAGGAGGUUGGCUUAGAAGCAGCCAUCCUUUAAAGAAAGCGUAAUAGCUCACUGGUCUAAUAGAAACCCUGCGCCGAAAAUGUAACGGGGCUCAAGCCACGUGCCGAAGCUGUGGGUGCAUAUCUAUGAUAUGCGCGGUAGCGGAGCGUUCCGUAAGUCAGUGAAGGAGACGGGGUGACCCUCUCUGGAGAUAUCGGAAGUGCGAAUGCUGACAUGAGUAGCGACAAACAGUGCGAGAAACACUGUCGCCGAAAGUCCAAGGGUUCCUGCGCAAGGUUAAUCCACGCAGGGUUAGUCGGCCCCUAAGGCGAGGGCGAGAGCCGUAGUCGAUGGGAAACAGGUGAAUAUUCCUGUACCUGCCAGAAGUGACGAAUGCGAUAUGUUGUCAGGUCUUAACGGAUUGACCUGGCUUUUGGAGCAUUCCAGGAAAUAGCUCUGGCGUAUAGACCGUACCCGAAACCGACACAGGUGGACUGGUAGAGAAUACCAAGGCGCUUGAGAGAACGAUGCUGAAGGAACUAGGCAAAUUACUCGUGUAACUUCGGGAUAAACGAGACCCGUUAGUGGGCAACCAUUGGCGGGUGGCACAGACCAGGGGGUAGCGACUGUUUAGUAAAAACACAGGGCUCUGCGAAGUCGUAAGACGACGUAUAGGGCCUGACGCCUGCCCGGUGCCGGAAGGUUAAGAGGAGGUGUGAGAGCACUGAAUUGAAGCCCCGGUAAACGGCGGCCGUAACUAUAACGGUCCUAAGGUAGCGAAAUUCCUUGUCGGGUAAGUUCCGACCUGCACGAA